CAGUAUUAUUAAAUCUUUACAAUGCAGUCUUUCGCUUAUUCAAUUCUGUUGUUAUCUAAUUGUUGGCUCUUAACCGUUAUCGGAUUAAAAAUGAAAAUAAGGUAGAUAGUUCAAUUAUUGGCUUGCCUAGCUUUCACUAGUAGGCGCCAUCACGACUCCCGAGGGUGAAAAAUCUGGAUCGUGACAAAGUUGUCCUCCCAAAUGUCAUAAACCCGAUUUCACACGCGAUACCCAUAUAUUUGCAAUUACUAACUACCAAAAGGCAAGGUAAUCUAUGUUGAUGUUCUCACAUUACAAUAGAAGUAGCCUAAAGUUAAAGAAUUAGGCAGAAAAAAAACUAUACAAUAGAUGAAUACAUCACCCAAUGACAUUAACUUAAAAAAUGCAUAUCACCAUACACAAGAGACCAUUGAAAAGAAAAUAUGGCUUUCUAUUACCAAGAAUGCACAACUUAGCUUUUUUUAUAUUAGCAUAGAUGUUGCACAUAUAUUUUUAUACUUAUAAUGCUACACAACACAAGAUGCAAGCAUUCUUGUAAUAUUAUCUCUACCAAAAAUAAGGAAAUUAGGAGAGCACAUUGUUUAAACUAAAGUACUAAGAUUGUCCACCAAAGAGCUUUCAACAAAAGUUGAUACAUUUGAAACGAAGAAAUAAAGAAACUUCAAACAAUAAAUCAAAGGCCAAUAUUAUGUACUACCUAUAUAUCUUUUCCUACAAUAAUUUGAUCAAGUUCUAUAUGAAUAUGAACAUGAAUUCUCCAAGCUCAUAGAUAGAGCUUAUCUCUAUAUCCUUUCUCUUCCCAGAAAAUGUAUCAUUUGAAGAUGAAAUUAGAGGGUAUAAAAUAAAACUAAACACGAUCAAAGAGCAAAGACCAACUUGAAAACAGAGCAUCAACCUCUAAACACUACUCUAAUAUACAGAAACUCGUAUUGCCUAUGCAAACAGAGGGAUUACAUCCAUACUCAAAUACUUGUCUAAUAACAACUUGAAAAGGAAAAGGACAUACACGAGAACAAGGAAAAAGCUAGCUAUUCUCCAAAAUGUGACCUACUAUGAGAACAACUGAAACUUAAAUAAAACUAGCUUAGAGUUUCAAGCCCUAAUUUUUUCUUUGAUGGAAUUGUAACCCUAUAACUGGAGCAUUGAAAGAAUUUUAUGGAACAAGAUAACUAGUCAAGGGAAUAAUAUACUAGAAAUAUUGAUGAAAGAAGAAAGAAAUAUUGUGCUUGUGAAUACUCGAUUGAAGGAAAAGAGAAGCCUGACUAUCGUGAAAAUUGCGUCAAACGUAUCUACGUUGUGAAGCUCUACUAUUUUUGCGGAAUCCUCCAAAGCAUGCCACAACCUAUAAUUAUACUUUGAAAAAGUCAGUCCUUUUUAAAUUGAAACAUGAAUUGGAAAUACUGAUUUUUAUAAUUAAUCUUUGAUUUCUUUUGGAAAAUUCUCAGAUCUAUCGUUCUAAGUCAUUAAGUUUUUCUCUCCAGUGCAUUCGAAUUGGAAAACUAUGUUUACAUGAGAAAUUAAAGCCCUAAUCUUGAAAUAACUUUUAGAGAGAGGAAGAAGCUUACCAUUUCAAACCCUAACUAGGAUUGAGGGAAGGCCGAGUAUCGUUUCCUUUCUACUUGAAUAAACCCCGAAAAAUAAUAUUCACGGUAUUAGUGAUAAACACUGAACACUAAGUUAUGGUUAAAUCAGCAAGAAUAGAAAUGCAGCAAUAAUGACACCAAGAUUUUACGUGGAAUCCCUUCUGAAUAAGGGAAAAAACCACGGCCAAGAAGAGCAACUGAUAUCACUAUAGCGAGGAAUUUUACAUUGUGUAGUAACGAGUACAAAUACUACUUCUAAUACCACUACAUCCUCAAAAGUAAAAAAAUACUCUUUUACUUUUUAUCACCUCACUACAAUAUCUCUCACACUCUAUUUUUCUUCACAAACUAUUUUUUUAUAGUCUAUGCAAUACCUUGCUCUCUCUCUUUUCUCUCUUUUUUUGGUGUCUUACAAAUGGCUCAGAAGCUCUCUAUUUAUAGACAUUCUAUAUCCCU
rnacentral:lncRNA from 1 species